rnacentral:rRNA from 1 species
UACGUAGGGAGCUAGCGUUGUCCGGAAUCACUGGGCGUAAAGCGCACGUAGGCGGACUCUUAAGUCGGUGGUGAAAUCCUGGAGCUCAACUCCAGAACUGCCUUCGAUACUGAGAGUCUCGAGUCCGGGAGAGGUGAGUGGAACUGCGAGUGUAGAGGUGAAAUUCGUAGAUAUUCGCAAGAACACCAGUGGCGAAGGCGGCUCACUGGCCCGGUACUGACGCUGAGGUGCGAAAGCGUGGGGAGCAAACAGG